rnacentral:rRNA from 1 species
UACGAGUGCCCCCAAGCAUUAUCCGGAAUCAUUGGGCGUAAAGGGUGUGUAGGUUGUCUUGUUAGUCUUCUGUGAAAUUCUUCGGCUUAACCGGGGGUCCGCAGGGGAAACGGCAGGACUAGAGGAUGCGAGAGGUGUGCGGAACUCAUGGUGUAGGGGUGAAAUCCGUUGAUAUCAUGGGGAACACCGAAGCGAAGGCAGCACACUGGCGCACUCCUGACACUGAAACACGAAAGCGUGGUAGCGAAUGGG